AGCCGCUCAAGAUGGCAGUACCUCUUCACAACACAUUGCUAAUCAGUUGAAAGCAUCAAACGGAGACAGCAUAUGCCUUAUCCCAUACAACACUGGUGGAGUGAGGACGUACCUUUGUAUGAGGGGUAAUCCAAAACGACCAACUUUCAAACAGUUGACGGGUAAUCUCAAACAACAAGGUUGUGUUGAAUGUGGAUACUGUGUCAUGCGGU